AACGAACGCUGGCGGCAUGCCUAACACAUGCAAGUCGAACGAGACCUUCGGGUCUAGUGGCGCACGGGUGCGUAACGCGUGGGAACCUGCCCUUAGGUUCGGAAUAACUCCCCGAAAGGGGUGCUAAUACCGGAUAAUGUCUUCGGACCAAAGAUUUAUCGCCUUUGGAUGGGCCCGCGUUGGAUUAGCUAGUUGGUAGGGUAAAAGCCUACCAAGGCGACGAUCCAUAGCUGGUCUGAGAGGAUGAUCAGCCACACUGGGACUGAGACACGGCCCAGACUCCUACGGGAGGCAGCAGUGGGGAAUAUUGGACAAUGGGCGAAAGCCUGAUCCAGCAAUGCCCGUGAGUGAUGAAGGCCUUAGGGUUGUAAAGCUCUUUUACCCGGGACGAUAAUGACAGUACCGGGAGAAUAAGCGCCGGCUAACUCCGUG
rnacentral:rRNA from 1 species